AGGAUUUAUAUAGGCUUUCUCUAAAGGUAUGCAAAUGGCCCAAUAAGUGUGUGAAAAGUUGCUCAGCAUCAUUAGGCCUCAGGGAGAUUCAAAUUAAAACCACAAUGAGAUACCUCUACAUAUCCAGCAGAAAAGCUACAGUAGAAUUCCUGGCUGAUCACCUUGACGUUGUGACAGCUUGAUUUUAUGUUCUUGUAGGGCAGAUUUGGGGAAAGUCCAAGACAUUUCCUAAACUCCUUUGACCUGGGAUGUCUCAACUCCCAAACUCUCUCUUCCCUGUGGCGCUUGUAAGGGCUUGGUUUUAGACUGUGUUAGGUGGGUGUAGAGCAGGCCUUCCUCUGGGGCCUGGCCCUUACUCUUAACGGAGCAGCCUUUCUCAGGGUAUUUACAAGGUAUUAAUGAGGUCUUUCCAUAUCAGUUGGGUCAGGCCUUUAACAUCUCCCAGCACUGCUUGACCUCUGGUAUCUGUUCCAUUCUCACCCCUGUAGCAGUCAUCCUUUGAUAAAUCCUGCACAGUCUCUCCAUGUGCAUGCUCAGCUCAGCACUCAAUUAGGGACAAUCAGGGAAUGUCUCACAGCUUUCUGUUUCUUCUCUCUGGUGCCUUGCCCCAGAUUUCAGGUUCUGCAGCUGCCCCCAAGUCUGAUAGCUGCCUUCUUAGCUUAGUGAGGCUACUGUGCUCUGCUUGAACUCCAGCUUGCUGUGCUGCAGUUGGAAAUUAUCUCCUGUCAGAGCUUGGGCAGAUGCGGGGGCUCACCUCAUGAGUUUCCCUUCUCUUGGUGUCAUAGGCUGUGCUGCCUGUUGUUAAAUGCCUGCUGACAGUAGCCUGAUAUGUUUUGUCCAGUUUAUAGUAGUUUACAGUAGGAGGGCUAGUUAUUUUGUUUUAACUGGAAGUUGAAAUCCUCCAAGAGAGUCUAGAUGUGUUAAUACUUGGAAAACGAGAUUAUUCAUGAUUUCCUAAGAGAGAAUAGGAAAGCUGUAAGAUUUGCCUUAAACUGCAUUCAGGAGCAGUGAAGAAUGAGUCCACAGAACAGCUUUACAGGAACAAUUAUGGGAAAAAAAUUGUUUCCUGGUUGUAUUCUGCUGACUUCAGGAAGGAAGGAGACUUCACCUUUCCAUUUGCUACUCUUCUGACUGUUCAAUUCUAUUAGUUUUAUAAUUUAAAAUGGUUAAAAAUAGAUCAAAUUUAAUCUUAUGGACAGGCAACCCCUGAGACAGAAUAAUAGACCACAUAAGGACAAAUGGCUGUCAUGCAGCCCCAAACCAAAGAGUUUCUACCAUUCCAACACGAGAGAGAAGGAAUGAACUAUCACAAUCAAAGAGACCAGGGAAAAGCUUAGAACAGGGAUAAAGAGCAAACCUAGAGCUCCAAACUAGAGACUUGGCAUUGUUUUAUCUUCCCAGAUUAGAAAAUUUUUUUCUAUUUAAUCUAUUAAAAUAUAAUUGAACUAAAAAUGUUAGGAUUACUAGAUACAUGAUCACAGGUAUCAAUAGUUUCAGGAAAAAUGGCCAAGUAUACAUAAAGGAAAAAGAAAGAUAAGAUUUAAAAUGUUUGGAAGAACCACAUCAAUAGGAGUUUUGGUAAAAUGAGAUCUAACACCAGCUAGUUGCCUUACUGGAAUUUAUGAAGUAUCCCUUAAUACCAAACUCUGAAUGAGUCAUUGAAACAGACAUAAUUAAGAAAUUACAAGAUAUUGGAGAAAACAAAAUCAAUUUAGCAGUAUAUAUAGUUCUACUGGAGAGGCAAAAUUUGCUCCAGUGACAUUAUUCACAUUCAGUUGUGAAAUGUCACAUUUUUAUUCCCUUGAAUAAAGUUUAUUCUUGUAAGUUUUGUAGAAUUUAUUCAGUGCUUUUACUGUGGGAAAUUUUUCUAGAAAUUUGCCCAUUUCAUUGAGGUUUUCAAAUUCAUUGGCAUAAAAUUGUUGUUGAGGUGGCAGUAGUCAUGGCAUCUCAGUGGUUCCUUUUUUUUAAGAUUUUUUUUUUGAUGU